rnacentral:tRNA from 1 species
UAAGGAAACCAAUAAAAUCAAUCAUCUUCAGUUUUGAAAGACUUAGGAUAACUAAGAUUUUCUUCGUGACUUCACGAAGGGCCUAUAGCUCAGUUGGUUAGAGCACACGCCUGAUAAGCGUGAGGUCGGUGGUUCAAGUCCAUUUAG